rnacentral:rRNA from 1 species
UGGGGAAUAUUGGGCAAUGGGGCGAAAGCCUGACCCAGCAACGCCGCGUGGAGGAAGAAGGUUUUCGGAUCGUAAACUCCUGUCCUCAGGGAAGAGAAGGAGACGGUACCUGAGGAGGAAGCCCCGGCUAACUACGUGCCAGCAGCCGCGGUAAUACGUAGGGGGCAAGCGUUGUCCGGAAUGAUUGGGCGUAAAGGGCGCGUAGGCGGCUCGGUAAGUCUGGAGUGAAAGUCCUGGCUUCAAGUUGGGAAUUGCUUUGGAUACUGUCGGGCUUGAGUGCAGGAGAGGUUAGUGGAAUUCCCAGUGUAGCGGUGGAAUGCGUAGAUAUCUGGAAGAACACCAAAGGCGAAGGCAGUCUCCUGGGCAAAUACUGACGCUCAUAUGCGAAAGCGUGGGUAGCAAACAGGAUUAGAUACCCUGGUA